UACGGAGGGGGCUAGCGUUGUUCGGAAUUACUGGGCGUAAAGCGCACGUAGGCGGCUUUGCAAGUCGGAUGUGAAAGCCCACGGCUCAACCGUGGAAGUGCAUCCGAAACUGCAUGGCUGGAGUCUCGGAGAGGAAGGUGGAAUGCUUGGUGUAGAGGUGAAAUUCGUAGAUAUCAAGCAGAACACCUGCGGCGAAGGCGGCCUUCUGGACGAUGACUGACGCUGAGACGCGAAAGCGUGGGGAGCAAACAGG
rnacentral:rRNA from 1 species